ensembl:snoRNA SNORA72 Small nucleolar RNA SNORA72
CUGCAAAUAGUCUCGCUGUUCUGAUUUUGUAAUAAUCAGGACAGGCUAAAGAUUUGCUAUUAUAAGACCAUCCAUAUGUCCCCAGACCUAGUCAUUUACCUAUCUAGGUCGGGUCUGGGAAGUGAUGGUGAUAACU